rnacentral:rRNA from 1 species
AUUGAACGCUGGCGGCAGGCCUAACACAUGCAAGUCGAACGAGUGGCGGACGGGUGAGUAAUGUCUGGGAAACUGCCUGAUGGAGGGGGAUAACUACUGGAAACGGUAGCUAAUACCGCAUACCAUCAGAUGUGCCCAGAUGGGAUUCGCUGGUAGGUGGGGUAACGGCGCACCAAGGCGACGAUCCCGAGCUGGUCUGAGAGGAUGACCAUCCACACUGGAACUGAGAAACGGUCAAGACGCCUACGUGAGGCAGCAGUGGGGAAUAUUGCACAAUGGGCGCAAGCCUGAUGCAGCCAUGCCGCGUGUAUGAAGAAGGCCUGCGGGUUGUAAAGUACUUUCAGCGGGGAGGCGUUACCCGCAGAAGAAGCACCGGCUAACUCCGUGCCAGCAGCCGCGGUAAUUC